rnacentral:ncRNA from 1 species
GUUUCAGGGCGAGGUGUGAUUCCUCACCGGCGGUGAAAGUCCGCGAGCCGAGCUUCGGCUGAACCGGUGAAAUUCCGGUACCGACGGUAUAGUCCGGAUGGAAGAAA